rnacentral:lncRNA from 1 species
UGGGAGCUAGUUUCAUUCUACUUCAUCACUUUGCAAGUCUGUUUGUCUUGCAAGUGCUAGUCUAGCUCUCCCUCCUUGAUCUCUACAUAUAUCGUUUUUUGUCUUAGAAGAAAUAACAGGCGUGAAAUGAAGAGUUUCAAGUCUCUCCUAUUGGCCCUAAAUGCCUUUGCGAUGAUCCUCAUUUUUGUGUGGCUUUCAAAUUCCAUGGAGGUGGAUGGGUUGAGGAACCUUAAGGAGGAACACUCUUUGAUCACUUCAAUGUUAGAGAAUUUAGUUACAGAGAGAGCAUAUUCGGGGCCAAGUCGUCGUGGAAAAGGUCACUAACUUCAUGGAGCAGAGCUAAAUUAGGAACUUUACUAAUACAUAUUAUAAUUUUUCAAUGAAGGGUGUUUGAGUGACCACUCUUGUAUCAAUGUAUCUGCACCACUAUAAUGGAGUUGCCUAAAAUCACAAGUGAUAGAGGCACAUAUUCAAUUAUUUUUUUUCUCCGUGAUAUUCAAUUUAAUUGACUAAGUUAAUUUGGUCGUUGCCUGCUGAGUAAUUAAAUAUUACUUUUUUUUUUGUGUGUAAUUCUGCU